rnacentral:rRNA from 1 species
UACGGAGGGGGCUAGCGUUGUUCGGAAUCACUGGGCGUAAAGCGCGUGUAGGCGGCUUGGCAAGUCGGGUGUGAAAUCCCGAGGCUCAACCUCGGAACUGCACUCGAAACUGCCUCGCUCGAGUCCCGGAGAGGGUGGCGGAAUUCCCGGUGUAGGGGUGAAAUCCGUAGAUAUCGGGAGGAACACCAGUGGCGAAGGCGGCCACCUGGACGGUGACUGACGCUGAGACGCGAAAGCGUGGGGAGCAAACAGG